CUACGUGCCAGCAGCCGCGGUAAUACGUAGGGUGCGAGCGUUAAUCGGAAUUACUGGGCGUAAAGCGGGCGCAGACGGUUACUUAAGCAGGAUGUGAAAUCCCCGGGCUCAACCUGGGAACUGCGUUCUGAACUGGGUGACUAGAGUGUGUCAGAGGGAGGUAGAAUUCCACGUGUAGCAGUGAAAUGCGUAGAGAUGUGGAGGAAUACCGAUGGCGAAGGCAGCCUCCUGGGAUAACACUGACGUUCAUGCCCGAAAGCGUGGGUAGCAAACAGGAUUAGAUACCCUGGUAGUCCACGCUGUAAACGCUGUCGAUUUGGGGAUUGGGCUUUAAGCUUGGUGCCCGUAGCUAACGUGAUAAAUCGACCGCCUGGGGAGUACGGCCGCAAGGUUAAAACUCAAAUGAAUUGACAGGGGCCCGCACAAGCGGUGGAGCAUGUGGUUUAAUUCGAUGCAACGCGAAGAACCUUACCUACUCUUGACAUCCAUGGGAUCCUGUAGAGAUACGGGAGUGCUUCGGGA
rnacentral:rRNA from 1 species